UGCCAGCCGCCGCGGUAAUACGGAGGGUGCAAGCGUUAUCCGGAUUCACUGGGUUUAAAGGGUGUGCAGGCGGUUUUGUAAGUCAGUGGUGAAAGCCCAGAGCUCAACUCUGGAACUGCCAUUGAUACUGCGAAACUUGAGUUCAGUUGAAGUAGGCGGAAUGUAGCAUGUAGCGGUGAAAUGCUUAGAUAUGCUACAGAACACCGAUUGCGAAGGCAGCUUACUAAACUGUUACUGACGCUGAGACACGAAAGCGUGGGGAGCGAACAGGAUUAGAUA
rnacentral:rRNA from 1 species